AACGAACGCUGUCGGCAUGCCUAACACAUGCAAGUCUAACCACACCUUCGGGUCUCGUGGCUCACCGGGGCGUCACCCCUGGGACCCUCCCCUUAAGUUCGGCAUAACUCCCCGAAUAGGAUUCUAAUCACGGGUAAUCUCUUCGAACCAAGCAUUUAUCGCCCUGGUAUGGGCACGCGUUGGAUUAGCUACUUGGGAGGGUAAAAGCCUACCCAGAGGGCGAUCCAUAGCUGGUCUGCGAGGAUGAUCAGCCACACUGGGACUGAGACACGGCCCAGACUCCUGCGGGAGGCAGCAGGGGGGAAUACUGGACAAGGGGCGAAAGCCGGAUCCAGCCACGCCGCGUGAGUGAUGAAGGCCUUAGGGUUGUAAAGUUCUUUUACCCGGGCUGAUAAUGACAGUACCGGGAGAAUAAGCGCCGGCUAACUUCGUG
rnacentral:rRNA from 1 species